CACGUAGGGCGCGAGCGUUGUCCGGAAUUAUUGGGCGUAAAGAGCUCGUAGGCGGCCUGUUGCGUCCGCUGUGAAAGCCCGGGGCUUAACCCCGGGUCUGCAGUGGAUACGGGCAGGCUAGAGGUAGGUAGGGGAGAAUGGAAUUCCCGGUGUAGCGGUGAAAUGCGCAGAUGUCGGGAGGAACACCGGUGGCGAAGGCGGUUCUCUGGGCCUUACCUGACGCUGAGGAGCGAAAGCGUGGGGAGCGAACAGG
rnacentral:rRNA from 1 species